AUCAGAGAAGUCAAAGCCCAGAAAAAUAAGGAUUAUUCUGUCCUGGCGACAGCCCGCUUUUUCUUUCAAAGGGUGGAGUUUGGUUCCUUUUCCAUGCCUUUGCGUUUGCAGCUCUCCACGCUGUGAGCCGUUUACUGAGAUCAACCAAAGUCAAGGAGAGAGGGAGGCCCAUGUGUGCAGAGGCUGGAGCCGAGAGCGGCCGGCCCGCCAGGAAGCCCAGACCCUUCAGCCAGGGGUCUAAAGGAAAUCGGUCCCAGAGCCUAAGGAGCGGACUUUGUUCCUCCUUUCUGCUUGUUUUUGCAGGACUCUGCCCCUGAGUUUAUCUGCUGCAGUUUGGCACUUCUAGCCCGGAGCUUUGGAGACAAAGCGAAGGAAGGAGACUGUGAUGUGCCCCAACCCCAACCAACAAGGAGAGCCCACUCUGCUGUGCUAACGUCCAUGCCAACUUCUCACAUGGACAGAAAACGUUUUCCCAAGAUGCACUCUUCGUCAAAGCAUAUCCAGAGCUGCUGAACAGGUCAACCAAGAACGAAACGGCUUCCUCCAGCGUGCAGCCAGCUCUCUGUGACUCGGGGGAACCAAGGGAGUCUGCGGAGAAGACAGGAGACAAAGAGGCCCGGUGGGCUGGCCAUGGUGGGUGGCCUUUAGGAUGCAGCAGACUCUGAGCGGGAACCGGGAGCAAACCCCUGAGCACCAGGGAGGGCGAUGUCUAAGUGCAGUGAGAUGAGAUGGAGGUCGCUGCCCCAGCGAGGCGUACAUGGCGAUGUCCAUUUUUUCUCUUUCUGCGUAAGCGGGAGCAGGAGAGUUGAGGUAAGGUGCAGUGGGCAGGGUCCAGGCCUGUCCACCCGAGCGCCAGAACGUGGAGGGGGCAGGGGCAGGGCGCUCCGAACGCAGCAAGUGUGGGUUUGUGAUGAGCGAAGGAAGGCGGGUGCAGGACCUCCACUCAGUGCGCCCCAGGCCGUGUCUGGAAGGGGAAUUCUCGCCCAGCUUCCCACUCUCCAACCUGAGGAUGUUUUGUUUCCAUGGACUGUUCUCAUUCCAAACGCCCCUGCUCACCUCCCGGGCGUUUCUCCCGGGCGUGGGAUCCAGAGCCUCCUCGCCCGCCCCUACUUGGCUUCCCUCGCUUUCCUUACUGCCCACGUCUGUCCGCAGGGCGGUGGGCGCCGGCGCCCUUGCCCGCACGUCGCUCGGGCCGCUGCUUUCUGAACCAACCACAGCCGCAAAACUCUCCUGCUCCUCUCUCCGGGACCUCCCGGCUCUGGCUCCAGCUGUGCGCUCCGCACCUCUGGCACCGCGAAGAGACACGGGCAACCCCAAAGCGCUUUCUGUCGCUCCCUAGGCGGAGAGCUGCGGUGGCCGGCUCCCACCUGGGCGCCUUCGCGCUCCCGGCGCGGGGCCUCCCCGGCCCUCCCGCCCCCACCGACUUCCAGGUUUUAGCUGAUAACCCGGCAGAGGAACCCACUGCGAGGACCGAGCUGACAAGCGUGAGCACUGUGUUCAGCACUGGGUCAAAGCUACACCUGACGGCUGCGACACCCGCACUCAGGGUCAUGGUGGACGUGGUGCGGCCUGCGAGGCAUAGCGCCUGCGCGGGACCCACAAAGGACCAACGUGGUCGAGUGUGGCGUCCAGUGUGUCCUAGUGCACUUUGCCUGGCACUGUUUUCCAGGACCUGUGUGAGUUGCAGGGAGCUUUUCCUGCACAAGUUGGAGAUCUGAUAGUCACCAUCCUGGGACAAAGGACUGCCCCAGGCCUGGUUUGCCUUCUUCCCAGUCAUUCUCUCUCCAACCCUCCAUUUAAGCCUCUAGGGGCUUCACCUUGCUCUCCCAUCAAAUAAACCAUUUCCUGCGACCCCACCCUCCACAACCUGAUACAUCCGCAAAUGCCUGUGUUUCCCCAGCCAUGCCUGAGGUUGGUGAACCCCACUGCACUGUGGACUCUGAGCUGGGCAGCCAGGCUCAGCGCAGACUGGGAGCUGCAAACUACAGGAGAGGAGAGCCAGGCCAGGCAGUCGAUGGCAGAGGAUUCGAGAAGAUGCUUUGAGAGGCUGGCUGGAAAUACAGGGCUGUGCGCACUGAGUCCGGUCUCUUCCAGGAGUCUGGGCCGCACAAGUCUGGGGGCGGGGGUGGGGAGGUGUGUGGAGGGAAUGAUGAGCAGACCAGCACCCUGGGGUCCUUUCUGAUUUACGCCCUGCAGAUCCCGGCAUUAGGAAAGUCGGUUUCUCUUUCUGAUCUAUCUCAGACCUAUGUCAGUUUGAGUUGCACAGAGAAGGGAAUCCGAGUCUAAAACCAAAACCAAAUUCUCCCUAUGGUGACCCUGUUGCCAAAGGAUCCUUUAGACAGGGAACAAAGCGUUUCAUCCACGAUAAAAGCAAAGGCUUAAUGCGCAACUUUGAUUGAACAUAAUGGCAUAGUAUGGAUUUGUUUCAAAGUGCAAAUGACAAUUCAGAUCUGACCACAUGCGAUCUCAGGGGCCUGUAGCUGGGGACAGAAAGGGCUACAAUGCGCAUUUUUCAGUCAGCCGUUGGGCCUCGGGACUCUUGAUACACAGGGAAAAGGAGUCAGCUUCAACGCCACCAUACCCUCCAUUCACCUGAACUCCUUCAGGCCCAAGCACCGGGCCUGCUUCAGCCACCGUAUGUGAAAUUGUGCAUGAAAUACGGGGUCGUCAUCCUGGCUGUGAUAUGCAAACCAAGUUGGCCCACUUAGUUCUUACUUUGUUUCCAGAAAUUUCUUCUGGCUGCUUUGAAUGCCGUUUUUCUCCUAUAGGUAGUCAAUGGGAAACAGAGGCAAGGCCGUGUCUCCAGUAUCUGAACUUCUUAGCUAGCUUUGGGAGCACAGAGAGAGAAUGAAGGAUGCCAUGGAAGGGAGUUUUUUUUUUUUUUUUUAAGAAUUUAUUUAUUUAUUUGAUAGGUAAAGUUACAGAGGGGCACAGGCAGAGAGAGAGAGAACUUCCAUCCACUGGUUCACUCCCCAGACAGCCGCAGCUUCCAGCGCUGGGUUGAUUCCGAAACCAGGAACCAGGAGCUUCCUCUGGGUCUCCCACGUGGGUGCAGGGGCCUUAGCCCUUGGGCCAUCUUAUACUGCUUUCCCAGGCCACAGCAGAGAGCUGGAUCGGAAGUGGAGCAGUUGGGACUAGAGCCCAUAUGAGUCGCCGGCACUGCAGGCUGCGGCUUUACCCACUACACCACAGCGCCGGCUCCUGUGCUGUGGCAGAUCGAGUAUCUAUGAGAAGCUGGCUGACACAAUGGCUUGAGAGUGCAUUGUGAGGAUAGGGACGAGUCUGAGGAGAAAUGGAGUUAAAAGCAAGGUCUAUUUUGGUACAACAAUUUGAAAUCCACACAGCCGGGACUCGAACCUGUGCCUGUUGGGAGGCCGGCACUGCAGGUGACAGCAUUUACCCACUACGCCACAGCGCCAGUGCCCAGAGGGGAGUUUUACGCAGCAUGGUCCACACAGAGUCAGAAUCAAGGAUGAGGGCCAAUAAUCUGCUUUUGUAACGAGUACUCUUCAUGAUUCUUGCACAGGCUGGUGUUCAAGAAGACCUGGUAACCAAGGGAAGACAUGCUAGGUUGAAGGAGUGCUUUGGGGAGGGAACAUAGGAGGCGGGGUGCGGGAGACCAGAGUGGAGUCUUCUCUCAACUGUGAAUCUGUGGAUGGCACCAAAACCACGAAGCUAGAUGACUGACAACUAUGUAUCUCCCAGGAGUGCUGAUUCGUCACUCCAAACACACACAUCCUUAUCCCAGACCCCCACAAAUACAGGUUCUGGCCACUGGACACAAGUGCACCCAGGGACCCCAGCGUUAAUGUGUUCUCAGAAGCCAGAUAGAGUUGAGCUAUGUUGUCUCUUCAAAGGUCUAGCCUGGGCUGCCCCUCCAUAUCCCUGCUCCCUUGCCAUGUCACAUGAGCUAUUGUUGUAGGAGGAUGCUGGCUACACCACAUAGAGGCCAGGGUGCACCAGAAACACAUGGCUGGGCCCUUUAUAUAUCUUUGUGGGUCGUGAUCAUUACUACUAUUUAAUGUCCUUUACCCCACUCCACACCAACACACACACACACACACACACACACACACACACCUCACCCUCUAUUAAUAUAAUUCCUUCAAUGUGAAAAAAUAAGGUAAAGGCCUCAGUCCAUUUUCUUUUGCUAUAACAAGAUACCUGAGACUGGGUGAUUAAUGAAAAAACACAAGUUCAUGUGCCUCAUGAUUCUGGAGGCUGGCACUUCCUAGAACAUGGUUUCAGGAGCUGCUGGGCAUCUGGUGAGGGCCCUCUUGCUGCAUCACGACCUGGCGAGACAGAGCAAGCAGCCAGGGAUGGUCGAUUUUAUAACAAAGCACUCCCUCACAACCCAUAAGCCUUCAGCCCAUGAAUGGAUUAGCCAUGGCCAGGGGCAGACUCUAGCGGUCAUCCAAUCCGUUUCCCAGGUUCCACCAUCAAAUAUCAUUCACAUAGGAACUUGGGGAUUACGUUUUCAACAUGUGAAAUUUAGAGGAUGCGUUCAAACCAUUGUGGUAAGAAUUUUAAUAAUUCUGAGUUCAAUAUUAUUUCUUUCUUGUUAUAUUUCCAUCUUUAUUGGAUUUAUGAACAACUAUUGAAGUACUGCAUUUCACAAGUUUAUCUUUUGGAGGUAUUUAAUUAAACAUUUGUUCAGUUUGGUUUUCCAACUUCGUAUUUUGAAACUAAGACGCUUCCCAUGUUGCAAAGUUAUUUUCAAAGUGCUCAGGGUUUGCGUUCCAGUUCAGCAGGGAGGGAGGGGAGGCUGGUGGUGGAGGAGUUCAGAUGUUGGAGAGAAGCGAUGUGAAACUGCAUCCCAGCAGAGGUCCUUUCCUCUCUCUUCUCAGUAUCUGCCAUGCCCUCACUUGACAGGACUCAAGUGGAGGCCAGCUGACAGGGGAGUUUGCAACAUGUGACAUGCUGACCCUCAGCACUAGUGCCCUAUGGGAAAUGACCUAGAUAUAGUGGCUACUUCCCUGAUGGGAGGAUAUUCCACCAACCAGGAAGGCUUUCAUCAAACAAGGAUGAUAAAAUCAGGAGCGUUAUUGAAUCUAUUUAAAAACAGAGAGCCAGAACAAAGGAGAAAAGAGUUGGCAUACUUUAACACCUUUAGAAUGGGGUGCAGGCGGGGUUAAAAUACUGCAACUCCGAGUCUUGUGUUUUUCUGGGUUGUGGGGUGGUUAUGAGAACUGGAAGUGAGAUGGAGUAAGGAGAUCAGCAGACCGAAUAUGCUUGGAACCUGCGUGUGCUUGCUGUGUUGGGAGGUGUGAGGAUGCCUCGGCUUGGCCUCAGGUCCACUCUCCCAGCUGACCAGCCUUCUGGGCAGCCAUCCCUUUUGUCAGCGUUUCUGGGGCAGGAUCUAUAGGGGCCAGAAUGGUGUCACAAAUAGGAAGACAGUUUAGGAAUGGCACGGUUGCUGGACCCAAGGUGGUGUCAUCUAUGCCUUGUGACUCACGGCUUGUUGGAGAGAGGCAGAGUGAGACUGCAUGCUAACAGGGGUCCUUUCUUAUCCCCCUCCUUCCAGGGCCUGCCCUUUUCCAUCUGUAAGCAGACACUCUUAAUGCAUCUCUUGUAACAUUUCAUUUAUCCCAUUUUUGCAUUUCUUGCAGGUUACUAUUUUUAGCACAUCUUCUGAAUUCUGCCUCUCAUGAAUUACUUGCUUCCUUAUUAUCUAUAGCGAACACCUCUAAUGAAUUUCACCCAUCAGGUUUGAUUUUCAUGUCCUCUGUAGAAGAACUGGGUAUUCUCACAUAAUGGAGCAAACACACGUUAUUCCCAGCAUUAUAGAGAAGAGUAUUGGAGGGUGAGGAUGGGACUUAGGGAUGCAAGAUACGUAAAUGGCAUAAAUCUAGUUCCACAUAUUUUAUGCAUGUAACAAUAUUCUUAGCCUCAUUUCCUGAUUAGUCUCCUCUCUCCCUGCUACUCUGCAUGCUGUUUCUGUCAUGGGCCCGCAUUUCCUAUCUAUGUGGGUCUGGGUUCUGUCUCCAUUGGGCAGCAUGUACAUCCCAUGCCUUUGCCACUGCCCUGUCCACUCAGCUUUAUAUAGGUCCUGAUACCUGUACAGCAAGUCUUCCCUUCCUUAAUAUUUCCAGAAGUGCCCUGGAUAGUUUUGGCUCUUUAUUCUUCCGAACAUAAUGCUUAGCAGGUUCCUUUCCCAGACAGCCUUUUGGAUUUUGACCAAAACUAUUCUAUAGAUUAAUUUGGAGAGAACUGGAUCUUUCAUUCAGCAAAUUUGGUAAAUAUCUCAUUGUUUGAGUCUUCUUUAAAAUUUACGAUUUUCCCUGUAGUGGGCUUAAUCCAUCUUUUGUCACAUUUAUUCCUAGACAAUUGAUGUUCUCUAAGACUAUUGUAAAUCGUAUUUCCAUUUUAAUUAUUUUUAUUGCUGGUAUACAAAGAUGCAAUUCACGGUUUUGUAUUUAUCAUUUUGGAGAUACCUUGUUCAAUUCUCCUAUCAUUUCUACAUAUUUGUAGAAUCCUUUGAGCUGUCUAUAUAAAUGAUAAGAUAAAGUGCAAAUAGUGAUGAUUUUUGCCUCUGGUUUGUUUUCCCUGAGUUAAGGAUGAAAACUGUGUGAGGACCCUGCACGAUCCUGCCUCAUUCCAGAUCUUGAAGGUGCACUUGCAGUGAUGUUUCCACAUUUGCUGCAGUUUCCACCUGUGCUUUUUAUCAUACUGAGGGAAGUUUCUUUCAUUCCUAAUUUACGAAUAGAUUUUUCUUUGUAAUGAACUUAUAGUGAUCUCUUCAACUGCGUUAUCUGCAUCUAUGGAAAUGAUGUAUGGUUGUUCCCUUUUAAUAUGGUAGUGUGGUGAAUUACAUUCAUAGAUUUCCUGACAUGGGUCAAAGCCAACUCUGUCAUGGUGUAUUACAUUUUUAUACACUAUAGAAUUCAAUUUGCUAAUACAAUCUCCUAUUUAUAAUUUUUGCUUCUAUAUUCAUAAAGGAAAUGUGCCUGUAAUUGUUCCUUAACUUGGUGUCAUUGUCUGGUUUGGCAUUGGGGUUACAAAAAUCCAUAUAAAGUGAGUUGGAGAGUGCUUCUUUCUUUCUUUCUUUUUUUCUUUCUUUGCUCUUCUCAGGAAGAGUUUUUAUGAGGUUGAGAUGAUUGCCUCUUUAUACAAAUUUGUUGGAACUUGCCUGUAAAAUCAUUUGGGCCUGGUAUUCAGUGUGGGCUAUUUUAAACUAUUGCUUCCAAUUCUGUAGUUGUUAUGAGAGCUCUGUGAUUAAAAAAAAAAAAAAACUUAGGUAAAUUUUGUUAUUUUCCUAGGAAAUUGUAUUCAUCAAAGUCUUUAAACUGUCACUGA